CAAGUCGAACGCGAAAAGGGGGCAACCCCUGAGUAGAGUGGCGCACGGGUGAGUAAUACAUCGGAACGUGUCCUGUAGCGGGGGAUAACCUAGCGAAAGCUAGGCUAAUACCGCAUACGUCCUUAGGGAGAAAGUGGGGGAUCGUAAGACCUCACACUAUAGGAGCGGCCGAUGCCGGAUUAGCUUGUUGGUGGGGUAAAAGCCUACCAAGGCGACGAUCCGUAGCUGGUCUGAGAGGAUGAAAAAUCAGCCACACUGGGACUGAGACACGGCCCAGACUCC
rnacentral:rRNA from 1 species